GUUUAUGAUGAUUAUACCACAUUUUUCACGACGGUCUACUGUGUGUUUAAGGACUGUUAAUCCUUAAAUAUUGAUGACAAAUCUGGCCUUGACCGGCCGUGGUUCCUGAUA
rnacentral:snoRNA from 1 species